AAUGGGCGCAAGCCUGAUCCAGCCAUGCCGCGUGCGGGAAGAAGGCCUUCGGGUUGUAAACCGCUUUUGUCAGGGAAGAAAUCCUCUGGGCUAAUACCUCGGGGGGAUGACGGUACCUGAAGAAUAAGCACCGGCUAACUACGUGCCAGCAGCCGCGGUAAUACGUAGGGUGCGAGCGUUAAUCGGAAUUACUGGGCGUAAAGCGUGCGCAGGCGGUUUUGUAAGACAGAGGUGAAAUCCCCGGGCUCAACCUGGGAACUGCCUUUGUGACUGCAAGGCUUGAGUGCGGCAGAGGGGGAUGGAAUUCCGCGUGUAGCAGUGAAAUGCGUAGAUAUGCGGAGGAACACCGAUGGCGAAGGCAAUCCCCUGGGCCUGCACUGACGCUCAUGCACGAAAGCGUGGGGAGCAAA
rnacentral:rRNA from 1 species